rnacentral:rRNA from 1 species
UACGGGGGGGGGCAAGCGUUGUUCGGAUUUACUGGGCGUAAAGAGCGCGCAGGCGGUCGUUCAAGUCGCGUGUGAAAGCCCCCCGGCUCAACUGGGGAGGGUCACGCGAUACUGAUCGACUCGAAGGCAGGAGAGGGAAGUGGAAUUCCCGGUGUAGUGGUGAAAUGCGUAGAUAUCGGGAGGAACACCAGUGGCGAAGGCGACUUCCUGGCCUGUUCUUGACGCUGAGGCGCGAAAGCUAGGGGAGCAAACGGGG